rnacentral:lncRNA from 1 species
UUCGGGUAAUUAUUACAGUAUAGAGCAUCGUAGUAGUAGAUGCUUAUUAUGGUAGGCUGGUGGCAAUGUUUAUGUUACCUUUGCUUCUUCAAGAAGAAGGAAAAUUGAACUUUCAUCGGCAACUCAAAUAUACAACAUAAAUAGUACAUGGCUUAAAGAAGACUGGAGAAGGCUCUCUAAAAAAAAGUAUAUGCCUACAAGAAAUAACUUAUUAUUUAGUCGUAAUUUACAUUACAUGUAAUCUAAUAGAGUGUUUUGUGCGUGAAUUGGGGCUUGUACAACUAGUCAUAACUCCCUACAUAGCAACCACAGGAC